rnacentral:sRNA from 1 species
AACGGCAUAGUUUUAUUUUAAGAAAAAAUUGACUUUUCUUAUACUUUAUGUAAACAACUGAAAUGUAUCUGCUAUAAUUUUUCUUUUCAGAUGUGUGUUAAAAGAGCUAGAAACGUUGGGAAAGGACUUAUAUGGGGCAAAACUGAUUGCACAAAAAUGCCAAGUUCGAAAUUGUCCUCAUUUCAAGAAUGCAGUGAGCGGAUCAGAAUGUCUGCUUUCCAUGGUUGAAGAGGGAAAUCCUCAUCAUUAUUUUGUGGCAACACAGGAUCAGAAUUUGUCUAUGAAAGUGAAAAAGAAGCCUGGAGUUCCUCUCAUGUUUAUUAUUCAGAACACUAUGGUUUUGGACAAACCUUCUCCCAAAACAAUUGCCUUUGUAAAAGCAGUGGAGUCAGGUCAGCUUGUCUCAGUGCAUGAGAAAGAAAGUAUCAAACACCUCAAAGAGGAACAGGGUUUAGUGAAAAACCCUGAACAGAGAAGAAGAAAAAAGCGCAAGAAGAUAAGUGGUCCCAAUCCUCUUAGCUGUUUGAAGAAAAAGAAAAAGGCACCGGACACACAAUCAUCUGCUUCUGAAAAGAAAAGAAAAAGAAAAAGAA